UACGUAGGGGGCAAGCGUUAUCCGGAUUUACUGGGUGUAAAGGGAGCGUAGGCGGCGAGACAAGUCAGAAGUGAAAGCCCGUGGCUCAACUGCGGGACUGCUUUUGAAACUGCCUUGCUGGAUUUCAGGAGAGGUAAGCGGAAUUCCUAGUGUAGCGGUGAAAUGCGUAGAUAUUAGGAGGAACACUAGUGGCGAAGGCGGCUUACUGGACUGACAAUGACGCUGAGGCUCGAAAGCGUGGGGAGCAAAC
rnacentral:rRNA from 1 species